CAGAAAUGAAGAACUUAUCUUCUCAGGACA
rnacentral:tRNA from 1 species